GAUGAACGCUGGCGGCGUGCCUAAUACAUGCAAGUCGAGCGAACAGACGAGGAGCUUGCUCCUCUGACGUUAGCGGCGAACGGGUGAGUAACACGUGGAUAACCAACCUAUAAGACUGGGAUAACUUCGUGAAACCGGAGCUAAUAUCGGAUAAUAUAUUGAACCGCAUUAUUCAAUAGUGGAAGAAGGUUUUGCUGUCACUUAUUGAUCUAUCCGGGCGGCAUUAGCUAGCUCGUAAGGUAACGGGUUACCAAGGCAAGGAUGCGUAGCCGACCCGAGAGGGUGAUCGGCCACACUGGAACGGAGACACGGUCCAGACUCCUACGGGAGGCAGCAGUAGGGAAACUUCCGCAAGGGGCGAAAGCCUGACGGAGCAACGCCGCGUGAGUGAUGAAGGUCUUCGGAUCGUAAAACUCUGUUAUUAGGGAAGAACAAAUGUGUAAGUAACUAUGCGCGUCUUGACGGUACCUAAUCAGAAAGCCACGGCUAACUACGUG
rnacentral:rRNA from 1 species